rnacentral:tRNA from 1 species
GCAUUGGUGGUUCAGUGGUAGAAUUCUAGUCUGCCACGUGGAAGACCGGGGUUUGAUUUCCCGCCAAUGCA